rnacentral:lncRNA from 1 species
AGGCCCACGAGCGCUGAAUCAGCUGCUCCCGCUGCUCCCAUGUCGCCCUGUCCCCUCCCGGGCAAAGAUGCUGGUGGCAGGGGGCGGGGGGUGAGGGGCUCCCUUCGGGGACCUGUCAGACGACUGGGGAUUUUCUGGAAAGUGGCUCCUGCAGGAGCCGGGCCUCCCGAGAGUGAGAGGAAGGGCCUUCCCGGAAGAGAGGGCCCUUCCAGACAACACCGAAGACGGAGAAGCCAGCGGCCGGCCUGCGCGCAGGGAAGGAAGCGGCUCCCUCCUGAAGGCGCUGAGUCAGCACGGAGCCAGCGCCUGCCACCCUCCCUCGUCCAAUCAGGCGCCGCAGGGACAGGGACCUCUCAAGCUUCAGCGGCGAAGGCUUCUGCCCCGGCCCUGACCUCCUGACCUCCGCCUUGACACCUGCUGCCCUCCAGACACUCCGCUCCCGCCAGGGAUCUCCGUGCAAACCUGCCCAUCCUCCUGCCAGACCUCGCCCCCCGCCCCCACGGGCACUGUCCCCCCGCCCGCCCUGGGCCAGCCUCCUGCUCUGUGGCCGCUGUGCUGCCGCCCCCUCCCAAAUCACCGCUGUCCAGGGGCCGCCUCCCCUCCCAGCAGAGGCACAGCUCCCCUGGGACACAGGGUGGACACAGCCAGCUCCCGACUGCGGCGCCCAAGGGUCCAGGGACAUCUCCUGGACGGCACCCGAGCAGGUGACCGGGGCACGGUCUGCACACCCACACAGCCUCUGCCUUCCCGCGGUGGCCGGCUCAGCACGUGCUCUUUGAAAAUGGUGACUGUCCCCAGGGGUCGUCGGGUAAAUUUGGCCAGAGGAUUGGGGCCCAGCAGGAAGGCCCCAGCCCCUCCCCAGCACCUCAGCUCCCACAGGCUCGUGGUACUAGAAACCCCAUUAGCACCUGGCAGGUGUAGUGCAUGGUCCAGGAGGGCGACCAGAGCCCUGGGGGAGGGGGGGUCAGACCCAACCCCAGCCGCUCAGCCUGGCAGCCCCGGCUCCUGCACUCAGGGCCCCACGGGGCUGGCAGCGCCUGCCCCACAGUGCAGACAGCACCCCCACCGCACAGCACCGGCCCAGAGACCUGCCGACGGCAACACUGCCACUCGCCCCAAACCAGGAGAGGCCAUGCGAGGGGGCCUGUGGAAGAGGCAGGAAGCGGGCAUCCCCGAGGCUCCGGCAUGGUGAGGACAAGUCUGGGACAGUGCCAGCCACUGCCACCUGCUGCCAGUGCAGCCAGCGUGCCCGCGGGUGGUCUCACGUUUGGUUCACUCCUGUGCCUGGAUCCACCUUCCCCACAUCGCCUGGAGCCCGUGAGAAAUGAAGACCCCAGGCCCAGGUCUGGGGACAAGGGGGCCGCCUGGGAAGCAGUGCGCCCACCUGAGCCUCGAAGGCCUCGUCAGACAAAAGGCAACACCCAAGGGUCCUCGCUGCUUGGGGGGUGGGGGGCCCCAGGCUUUCACAAGGAUUUUACCAACUCUGCCAUCGAAAGCUAAACCCCAAAAGGACUUUUUUUUUUUUAAAUGAGAGUUGCAACGUUUACUUCAGGUUCUCUUUUUUGGUUUAGGGGUUUGUUUGUUUGUUUUUGCCACAGAGGCGCUACAGGGGAAUUCCUGGGCCAGGGAUCGAACCUACGCCGCACAGCGGCAACCAGAGCCACAGCGGUGAGAAGGCAGGAGCCUCGACCCGCUCGGCCACCAGAGAACUCCCAGACUUGGGUUGUUUCCCUCUGAAACAUUUAGUUCCACAAAUUCCGGAGGCAGCAGCCAGGCUCGCCUUCCAAGGGCGCGUUCUGGUGCCCAUGGCCGCGUGGAAGGACGCCACCCUCAGCCCCGCGUGGAAGGACGCCACCCUUAAAGAGAGGAAUGUGGGUGUCCCUGCCCAGAAGCCGGAGGCCUUUGUGAAAUAAAGACGCUGAAUGAGGUCGCGUCUCUCGUUCUUCAAGCGGCUCUUUGGUGAAACAAGAACUAUAACUUCGGCCUGUGUCCCUUUUCCUCCUGUGCCGAAGUGUCUGCCCUGGAACUGAGUCCUGUCCGGACGGGCCCACGUACCGCCAUCCGCCCUCUCACACGGCGACAGGCGCUUACCUGUGCACUCAAUCCAGCCCGCACCAGGCCCCUCGGCCAGCACUGACAAAUUGCCGGGCCACCCCGGCCAAAACCCCAGGACACACAGGCUCAGGUGGUGGAACCCUGGCCCCAAGGCCUGGCUGGGCCCCUGCAGCCCAUCACACUCAGGCCUCCUGCGUGGCAGGUGUCAGUCUCACUCAGAGAAACGGCCCUGUGGCGGUGUUGGCAGGUUACGUCCUGGAGAAGAGGAAUAAACGUUUUGAGCUGGUU